rnacentral:rRNA from 1 species
UACGUAGGGGGCGAGCGUUGUCCGGAAUCAUUGGGCGUAAAGCGCGUGUAGGCGGCUCGAUAAGUCCGCUCUGAAAGUCCAGGGCUCAACCCUGGGAUGCGGGUGGAUACUGUCGGGCUCGAGUCCGGAAGAGGCGAGUGGAAUUCCCGGUGUAGCGGUGAAAUGCGCAGAUAUCGGGAGGAACACCAAUGGCGAAGGCAGCUCGCUGGGACGUGACUGACGCUGAGACGCGAAAGCGUGGGGAGCAAACAGG